GUCCAUCACAGCUCUUGCAUGGGAGUUUCUGACUUAGCAAAUUUUGCUGCAAAAAGCUUCCAAGCGGAAUAUCAAAAUUUUGGUAGAACUUAAUGCGAGAAAAAUGACCAUGUGCACACAUAGUCCCUUUUGAAGCAUUACGGCUUGAUAUCAGAACCAAUAUACUCUCAGUAUCCAUAGAUUUAACGCCAUUACCCAUAUUACCAGAUACCUGUGAUUCUAAAGAUUCUCCCUGGCUCACUAUUGGAGUAUGCGACCGUUCUUUUUCGGAUGCCACCUCGUCAUCACAGGUAGUGACUUUCUG
rnacentral:misc_RNA from 1 species